rnacentral:tRNA from 1 species
GCCGAGGUAGCUCAGCCUGGGAGAGCGCUCGACCCAUUGCGUCUUGCAGUGAGGGCGAAGCUGAAGACCGAGUUGUCGCCGGUUCAAACCCGGCCCUCGGCA